UAAUCGACCUUGUCAUUUUUUGAUAAAAAAAAUCCUUCUCCUCAGCCCAUUACCCUCGACUGCAUCUGUCCUAAAUCCAUCAUCUCCUUCGACUGCUUCUACCCUAAAAUCGUUCCCUCUUCGACUAUUUCUAUCCUAAAAUCAUUUGCCUCCUUCGACUGCUUCUGCCCAAAAUCGUUAACUCACUUUGUUCAACUGCUUCUGCCCCAAAUCAUUCGCCUCUUCAACUCAAUAGAUGCUGCAUUUUUUCGAUUGCUCACUUCUACCCAAAAUCCUUCAUCUCCAUCAGACUGCUAUCUCUAAAGGGUGAUUUUUGAAGAUCUACAACAUAGUAUAAAUCCUCACAAUCAAUGGCCUGCUAGUAAGUCUCCCUAUUUGAAGGUAAUUGAUGAGUUGUUUGUGAAUUCUUAUACUUGCUCAUGUGAGUUCUCUUUUUUUGAAUGUCUAAAGAUGGAGCCUGUUGAUUAGUUUCCCUGUUUCCAGAUAGUGUGCGUUGGAUCCCUAAUUUUUUUCCCUUUUUUUGGCAUUCUGAGGGUCACUGGUCUUUUUUCUUCUUUCUUUUUUUUUUGUUGGGAACAUGUUCUAAUUUAUGGUGAUCGGUGGUGUGUUGGAUAUUUUAUGGUUAUGUGUUUUGUGUUUUUUUUCCUCUACUGUCUGUUACGUGAUUUUGAUUCUAUUUAUAUGAUGUAGAUAAGAUGGCACAUCCUCAUUUUAACAAUAGAAGACGUAGAUUAAUGUGCACUUUGUGGAAUAUGUAUGGAAUGCCGAUAGUUUGUUUGGUUCUCGUAUAUUAUGAAAUUACAAUACUUGCCUAUUAUCGAAGUAAGUUCGUCAAAUAAAAAGUAAGGAAGACAAAUGGAUUGCGUGUCUGAAAUGGAUGUUUAGUCUUACAAAAGAGAGUGAUGAAAUAUGUGCUAGUGAACUUCGAAUGGAUAGGAGAAUAUUUACGAUAUUGUGUGAUAUGGUACGAGACUUUAGGAAUUUAAAAGCCACAAAAAAAUGCAACCAUUGAGAAAAUUGUGACAUUAUUUAUCUAUAUGUUGGCACACCAUAAAAAUGUAGAACAAUAAGCAUUCUUUUUGGACGCAAUAGGGAAAUAGUUAGUUGUCAUUUCAAUUCUUGUCUUUGAGCAAUUUUAUAACUGCGCCACAUAUUGCUAAAGAAACCUCAGCCUGUACGCGAUGACCGUGAAGAAGAUAUGUGGAAACCAUUUAAGGUAAUAUUUUUUAAUCACCUCUAGUUCAUCUUUUAAAAUAUUUUUCAUUUAACUCUAUGAAUUACAAGGUUGUUUAGGUGCUUUAGACGAUAUUUUUAUCUCAGUGACACCCCUAAAGAAGUAAAAUAACGUUAUCACACAAAAAAGGGAGGAUUGCUACAAUGUAUUGGGUGUUUGUUGCCCAAAUAAGCAAUUUAUAUAUAUGUUGCCUAGUUGGGAAGGUUCUGCUCAUGAUAGUUUAAUUCUUUGUGAUGUCAUCAAUAGACCAUUUGGCAUAAAGUCCCCUAAGGUAUAAGUAACUGCUUUAUACUUUCAAGUUUUUUUCUUUCCAUUUUUAUGGAAUACUUGCAUUUAUUUUAUUUUCCUUAGUAUAGGUUGUUAUUAUUUGAUAGAUAUUGGAUAUUGCAAUUUAGAUGGAUUUCUAGCACCUUAUCAUGGAUAUAAGUAUCAUCUCAAUGAGUUUGAUGUCAUCGACCCAAGACAACCAAAGAAUAUUUUAACAUGAAGCACUCUAGAGCAAGAAAUGUUAUUGGAGGUGUUUUGGAUUGUUGAAGGGGCGUUGUAAAAUUCUAGCUUCCCCUUCAUUGUCUCCAAUGCAAACCCAAAUCCAUAUUAUUAUUGUUCAUUGUUUUCUUCAUAACUUGAUUAGUAAAUUCAUGAGGCAUGGUCCUCAGGAGUGUAUAACUAGUGAAGAUGAACAAAGUUAAGAUGAUGAUCGUGAUCAUGAGAGUGAAACAGAGUACAUACAAACAACUGCCCAACUGAUCAAUGGACAAUGUUUAGGAAUAAUUUAGUACUCCAAAUGUUUAAUAAUUGGCAAAAUAGGUUUUUGAUAUGGAAUGACUAUGAUUGGUGUGAUGUUUGUUUUUUAUUUUUCUUCUGUAUUCACCUUUGUGAAAACUUUUACACCUAACAUUUUAUGCAUUUUGUGGUGACUAUAGUCUAUGUUUUAUGUAUCAUCAACUUUCUUUAAACAUGAUUUAAUACUAUUACACAUUUAAUAGUUACUCUUCCUUUGACUUUGAUAUGAAGUAGGAUGGAGAGUAAUCUUGAUGACUCUAUGGGAAGAAAGUUACCCACACGAAAGAGGGUCACUUCAAAGCUAAAGGUCUAUUCAAUGUAUCAUUCCCUUAUUUUUCAGAGUUAGAGAUGGUAUAUGACCAAAACAAAGCAACAAGCCUUGUUGCAGAAGAUCCUGUGAUAAUUGCACGUAACAUACAAAUAUUGAUGUUGAUGCUGAUUUGUCCAUAAUAGAUGACAAUACGACUACUGACAAUAGAGUUGAAGUUGAUUCAAUGUCAAAUCAACAACCAUUUGUUACAUCCAAAGCAUCUCACUCUAAGGAGAAAAAGAAAAUUACCUAUUGACAGAGUUGAAAAGGCUUCAAAAAAGGUAAAUAAUGCAACCGUGCAAAAUAUUGACUGUGAGUGAUCGAGUAGAUGAGUUUAUGCAAAAUAUUAGCUCAUACAAGGCUGCUUAAGCAAUUUGUGAAGAUACUGUGAAAGUUGAGUUAUUGUUCAGUUUGGAUCCAUCUAAAAUAGAAUAUUUUGUGCUUAGUUGCUUGUAAUUAUAGAUUAUAAAUAUGCUAGUUUUGAAAAUUAUGGAAACCUUUCUUCAACUUAUGUUGUUUAGUAA